GACGUAGGAGGCGAGCGUUGUCCGGAUUCAUUGGGCGUAAAGAGCGCGCAGGCGGCUUGGUAAGUCGGAUGUGAAAACCCGAGGCUCAACCUCGGGCGUGCAUCCGAUACUGCUCGGCUAGAGGUAGGUAGGGGAGAUCGGAAUUCCUGGUGUAGCGGUGAAAUGCGCAGAUAUCAGGAGGAACACCGGUGGCGAAGGCGGAUCUCUGGGCCUUACCUGACGCUCAGGCGCGAAAGCUAGGGGAGCGAACUGA
rnacentral:rRNA from 1 species